rnacentral:rRNA from 1 species
AUAUUGCGCAAUGGGCGAAAGCCUGACGCAGCAACGCCGCGUGAUCGAUGACGCUUUAAGGAGUGUAAAGAUCUGUCCUAAGGGAAGAAUGGUUUCAAGUCGAAUAGGCUUGAUUCGUGACGGUACCUUAGAAGAAAGCGCCGGCUAACUUCGUGCCAGCAGCCGCGGUAAUACGAGGGGCGCAAGCGUUGUCCAGAUUCAUUGGGUGUAAAGGGUGCGUAGGUGGAUCAGUAAGUUGGAAUUUAAAGCCCGCAGCUUAACUGCGGAUCUGGUUUCAAAACUGCUGGUCUUGAGUUCGAAAGAGGGGAGUGGAAUUCCUAGUGUAGCGGUGGAAUGCGUAGAUAUUAGGAGGAACACCAGUGGCGAAGGCGGCUCUCUGGUUCGAUACUGACACUAAGGCACGAAAGCGUGGGGAGCGAACAGGAUUAGAUACCCGUGUAGUC